rnacentral:rRNA from 1 species
GAUGAACGCUGACAGAAUGCUUAACACAUGCAAGUCAACUUGAACUUCGGUUUGGGUGGCGGACGGGUGAGUAACGCGUAAAGAACUUGCCUCACAGAUAGGGACAGCAUUUGGAAACGAAUGCUAAUACCUGAUAUUAUGAUUAUAUGGCAUCGUAUAAUUAUGAAAGCUAUAUGCGCUGUGAGAGAGCUUUGCGUCCCAUUAGCUAGUUGGAGAGGUAACGGCUCACCAAGGCGAUGAUGGGUAGCCGGCCUGAGAGGGUGAUCGGCCACAAGGGGACUGAGACACGGCCCUUACUCCUACGGGAGGCAGCAGUGGGGAAUAUUGGACAAUGGACCAAGAGUCUGAUCCAGCAAUUCUGUGUGCACGAUGAAGUUUUUCGGAAUGUAAAGUGCUUUCAGUUGGGAAGAAAAAAAUGACGGUACCAACAGAAGAAGUGACGGCUAAAUACGUG